CCUACGGGACGCAGCAGUGGGGAAUAUUGCACAAUGGGGGAAACCCUGAUGCAGCGACGCCGCGUGGGCGAGGAAGUACCUCGGUAUGUAAAGCCCUAUCAGCAGGGAAGAUAAUGACGGUACCUGACUAAGAAGCCCCGGCUAACUACGUGCCAGCAGCCGCGGUAAUACGUAGGGGGCAAGCGUUAUCCGGAUUUACUGGGGGUAAAGGGAGCGUAGGCGGCCACGCAAGUCAGAAGUGAAAACCCGGGGCUCCACCCUGGGAGUGCUUUUGAACCUGGGCGGCUAGAGUGUCGGAGGGGUAA
rnacentral:rRNA from 1 species